CGACAGCGACGGUCACAGAGAAGGAUGCUAGAUCCAUAGAGAAAAGAAGAGAAAUGAGGUGACCACGGUAAUGGAUGCCACCGCCGCUGUUGGAUCCGUAAAACUGUGUCCAUUUACCUAUCAAGCAGCAUUCUGCAGAGUGAUCCAUUUGAGAGAUGGUGUCAAGCUUUGGAUGGAAUAAAUUGAAAAAGCUAAAUCAGCUCUGCCUAAGGAUGAGGCUGAGCCUUCAAAAUUGAAAAAAGAAGAAAGCACACUUAAAGAUAUUGUGCAACAGCUACGUGGUAUCCUUUUCUUUCAUGCUGCUCAUGACUGACUCUGAACUUGAAUGUAAUGAAAAAUGGCUACCAGACGCACCAGACAGGACACCGCCUGCCAAUAUUGAAGGUGGCUGAAGCAUUGCAUUUUUAGGCACUGUCUAAGUCUCUAAGACAUUAACUGUAAACGAACUGCUUUAUUUAAAGGAGGAGUUUACACUUUUGGAGCCAAACAAAAAUGGAACCAUUAGCCUAGAAAACAUCAAAGCGAUCUCGAUGAAAAAGGCAA